GCCGCCUGAAAAUCGCCCCAGCUGUGCCAUAGCCGCAGGUGAGACUUGGCGCCUACAGCCAUCCUGGCUUCAGCUCACCCCCGCUGCCUGGUGGGGGGCGUGGAACCCAGGCCCCAACAGCA